GAUGAACGCUGGCGGCGUGCCUAAUACAUGCAAGUCGAGCGAACGGACGAGAAGCUUGCUUCUCUGAUGUUAGCGGCGGACGGGUGAGUAACACGUGGAUAACCUACCUAUAAGACUGGGAUAACUUCGGGAAACCGGAGCUAAUACCGGAUAAUAUUUUGAACCGCAUGGUUCAAAAGUGAAAGACGGUCUUGCUGUCACUUAUAGAUGGAUCCGCGCUGCAUUAGCUAGUUGGUAAGGUAACGGCUUACCAAGGCAACGAUGCAUAGCCGACCUGAGAGGUGGUCCGCCCACACGGAAACUAGGACACGUUCCGAACCCUUAGGGAGGGCACCAUUAGGGAAUCUUCCGCAAUGGGCGAAAGCUGAACGAGGCAACGCCGCUUGGGUGAUGAAGGUUUCCGAUUCGUAAACUCUGUUAUUAGGGAAGAACAUAUGUGUAAGUAACUGUGCACAUCUUGACGGUACCUAAUCAGAAAGCCACGGCUAACUACGUG
rnacentral:rRNA from 1 species